GUGGCGCAUGCGCCCCGACGCGCGGGCUCGCGGGCUCCUUUCUCCGUUGCCGUUCCAGGAAGCGGCCGCGGGGGAGCCCCACUGGCACGGAGCCGUGGGGCCUGCGACCACCCCCGGGGCUGGCCUGAGGGAUUCUGUCCAUGGCUGCCACCAAAACUUGGAUUUACGAUGAACAUUUCAGGCCAGAAAAGUUAAGAGAAUGGCCGGAGCCCGAGUCCGUUUCUUUAAUGGAGGUAUUAGCUAGAGAAGACAUUGAUGAAGCAGUACGUGCAAUAUUAUUUAGAGAAAAUUCUGUUGUGAAGAGAUUGGAUACGUAUUUUCAGCAUCUGGAUACUUUUAAGGAAAGAAGAAAAGAGAUGUUACAUAGAAAAUGGGUUGAAAACGUUGCAGAGCCUCUUCAGCAGAGAAUUAUGGAAAAAGUAAUUUCAUAUAAAGGGCUUAAAAAAAUGAAACAAGAGAAUGUUGAAUAUUAUUUACAGCACAGACAUAAAAUGGUUACAGUCCCAUCAUUUGUUGAUCCUCUGCUUCAAAGACAGCAAGAGGUGGAUGAAGAGAAGAGAACUGGUCUUCAAUGUGAGACAGGAAAACGACAUUCCAUCAAAGAAUUUAAAGAAAUAGAGAAGGCCAGGCUGCAUGCCAGCUCGCCCUACUUCACUUUCACUUCACAUCGUGUGAUUCCAAAAGAGUGGCAUAAAGCCUCCGCAAGAGCCAGGAGUAAAACUUACAAAUACAGUCCUGAAAAGCUCAUCGGUGCAGACAAGAAACAGAAAAGAAAAGAGAAAAACACCACUGACCUAAGUCAGGCUGCGUUUGAAAGGCAAUUCCUUUCCUCAAAACUCAGCCAGAAGAACAAAGUGGGUGAAAGGAAGGAUCUGGUAAGCAGAGACCUGGGGCGGGGCUGGCAUGCAGGGCUUUGCAGCCCCCACAAGCAGCACAUACUGGUUCCAGGAUGAGCCACCGCCACAGCCCUCCCUGUCAGACAAGCACUCAAGGGCGGAGGAGGCAUGGCCCAAGAAGAAGGGCGUGUAGAGGAGGAGGGAGAAAUGGCAGGUGGCCUCAGGCUCAGCACUGCAGCUCUGACUGGGCCCCUCAGGCGGGGAAGCCUUGUAUGAAGAAAGUCAGACAGGUGGUAAAUGUGGGACCUGGACCCCACUUCCUGGAGGCAGAUCCUGUCCUUCCAAGGUGAGGGCCAACCUGGCCACAGGGGCUUUUCCCCCUGAGAUUUCUUCAGCGCCUUUGCCUUUCUGCCACUUUCCCGCCAUUUUCCACUUACUCCAUCCAAACUGCACCAAAAAUCGUGUUCUUCUUAGUCCACACACAACAGGUGGGAAGUUUUUGAAAUGAAAUUUAUACCAACAAAUUAGGGCAAGAUGAGAUUUUUAAUAUUUAAAAGGUAUUUUUAUAUGUAAGAAUUUUUUGAGUACAGAUUUCUUAUCUGGAGCUCAUGGUUCAUUUGACACGGUUUUCAGCUCCUGGUCUAUUUCCCCUUCCAGUCUCUCUGCCGCGCCCCGUACCCUGAGGCCUGAGGCGCAGGACCCCCCCCAGGGAAGGCCUAGGGGCCUCAGCUCAGGACCUGACAGCAUCACUCCCACCCCUCACCACCACACACACGGGAUGGGGGACUGCUGCUGCUCUCCAGCCUGUGAGCCUGGAUAGCUAUUUUGUGACCCAGCUCCUGCUCAGUCUCAUUGCUGUCCCCGGUCUCUCCAGGGAGUAAGGGAUUCUCCAUCUGUGACCCUGUUCUCCAGACCCUGUUCUCCUGCCUCAAUGCUUACCAUGGAAAGUUUGUACCAACACCUGUCACCUCACUGCACCCACGCCCUGACUCUGGU